GAGGGCUGGGGGGCGGCCUAAUCAUGCAAGUCGAACGAACUCUGGUAUUGAUUGGUGCUUGCAUCAUGAUUUACAUUUGAGUGAGUGGCGAACUGGUGAGUAACACGUGGGAAACCUGCCCAAAAGCGGGGGAUAACACCUGGAAACAAAUGCUAAUACCGCAUAACAACUUGGACCGCAUGGUCCGAGUUUGAAAAAUGGCUUCGGCUAUCACUUUUGGAUGGUCCCGCGGCGUAUUACCUAAAUGGGGGGGUAACGGCUCACCAUGGCAAUGAUACGUAGCCAACCUGAGAGGGUAAUCGGCCACAUUGGGACUGAAACACGGCCCAAACUCCUACGGGAGGCAGCAGUAGGGAAUCUUCCACAAUGGACAAAAGUCUGAUGGAGCAACCCCGCGUGAGUGAAAAAGGGUUUCGGCUCGUAAAACUCUGUUGUUAAAAAAAAACAUAUCUGAAAGUAACUGUUCAGGUAUUGACGGUAUUUAACCAAAAAGCCACGGCUAACUACGUGCCACCACCCGCGGUAAUACGUAGGUGGCAAGCGUUGUCCGGAUUUAUUGGGCGUAAAGCGAGCGCAGGCGGUUUUUUAAGUCUGAUGUGAAAGCCUUCGGCUCAACCAAAGAAGUGCAUCGGAAACUGGGAAACUUGAUUGCAGAAAAGGACAGUGGAACUCCAUGUGUAGCGGUGAAAUGCGUAGAUAUAUGGAAGACCACCAGUGGCGAAGGCGGCUGUCUGGUCUGUAACUGACGCUGAGGCUCGAAAGUAUGGGUAGCAAACAGGAUUAGAUACCCUGGUAGUCCAUACCGUAAACGAUGAAUGCUAAGGUGUUGGAGGGUUUCCGCCCUUCAGUGCUGCAGCUAACGCAUUUAAGCAUUCCGCCUGGGGAGUACGGGCCGCAAGGGCUGAACUCAAGGAUUUGACGGGGGGCCGCACAAGCGUGGAGCAUGUGUUUAUUCGAAGCUACGCGAAGACCUUACCAGGUUCUUGGACUUACUAUGCAAUUCUAGAAGAUAACGUUCCCUUCGGGGA
rnacentral:rRNA from 1 species